UACGGAGGAUGCGAGCGUUGUCCGGAAUGACUGGGCGUAAAGGGCGUGUAGGCGGUUUGAUAAGUCUGGAGUGAAAGUCCUGUUUUUAAGGUGGGAAUUGCUUUGGAUACUGUCAAACUUGAGAGCGGAAGAGGUAAGUGGAAUUCCCAGUGUAGCGGUGAAAUGCGUAGAGAUUGGGAGGAACACCAGUGGCGAAGGCGACUUACUGGGCCGUAACUGACGCUGAGGCGCGAAAGCGUGGGGAGCGAAC
rnacentral:rRNA from 1 species